rnacentral:rRNA from 1 species
GAUGAACGCUGGCGGCGUGCCUAAUACAUGCCAGUCGAGCGAACAGACGAGGAGCUUGCUCUUCUGACGUUAGCGGCGGACGGGUGAGUAACACGUGGAUAACCUACCUAUAAGACUGGGAUAACUUCGGGAAACCGGAGCUAAUACCGGAUAAUAUAUUGAACCGCAUGGUUCAAUAGUGAAAGACGGUUUUGCUGUCACUUAUAGAUGGAUCCGCGCCGCAUUAGCUAGUUGGUAAGGUAACGGCUUACCAAGGCAACGAUGCGUAGCCGACCUGAGAGGGUGAUCGGCCACACUGGAACUGAGACACGGUCCAGACUCCUACGGGAGGCAGCAGUAGGGAAUCUUCCGCAAUGGGCGAAAGCCUGACGGAGCAACGCCGCGUGAGUGAUGAAGGUCUUCGGAUCGUAAAACUCUGUUAUUAGGGAAGAACAAAUGUGUAAGUAACUAUGCACGUCUUGACGGUACCUAAUCAGAAAGCCACGGCUAACUACGUG